rnacentral:rRNA from 1 species
UACGUAGGGGGCUAGCGUUGUCCGGAAUCAUUGGGCGUAAAGAGCGCGUAGGCGGCCCGGUAAGUCCGCUGUAAAAGUCAAAGGCUCAACCUUUGAAUGUCAGUGGAUACUGCCGGGCUAGAGUCCGGAAGAGGCGAGUGGAACUCCUGGUGUAGCGGUGGAAUGCGCAGAUAUCAGGAAGAACACCAACGGCGAAGGCAGCUCGCUAGGACGGUACUGACGCUGAGACGCGAAAGCGUGGGGAGCGAACAGG